UACGAAGGGGGCUAGCGUUGCUCGGAAUCACUGGGCGUAAAGGGUGCGUAGGCGGGUCUUUAAGUCAGGGGUGAAAUCCUGGAGCUCAACUCCAGAACUGCCUUUGAUACUGAAGAUCUUGAGUUCGGGAGAGGUGAGUGGAACUGCGAGUGUAGAGGUGGAAUUCGUAGAUAUUAGGAAGAACACCAGUGGCGAAGGCGGCUCACUGGUCCGGUACUGACGCUGAGGUGCGAAAGCGUGGGGAGCAAACAGG
rnacentral:rRNA from 1 species